rnacentral:rRNA from 1 species
GACAGAGGUGCCGAGCGUUAGGCGGAAUCACUGGGCUUAAAGCGUGUGUAGGCGGCGGCGUAAGUACCUUGUGAAUCCCACGCUCAACCGUGGAACUGCUCGGUAUACUGCGUCGCUUGAGCCAGCUAGGGGCAACCGGAACAAACGGUGGAGCGGUGAAAUGCGUAGAUAUUGGAAAGACCACCAAUGGCGAAGGCACUCUACUGGGCCAUUACUGACACUGAGAGACGAAAGCUAGGGGAGCGAAUGGG